CCCUUAGAUGUUAUGGGCCGCACGCGCGCUACACUGACGAAGUCAGCGAGCAUGUCCUACGCCGACAGGUGCGGGGAAUCUUGUCAAACUUCGUCGUGAUGGGGAUUGAUUAUUGAAAUUCUUGAUCAUCAACGAGGAAUUCCUAGUAAGCGCAAGUCAGCAGCUUGCGUUGAUUACGUCCCUGCCCUUUGUACACACCGCCCGUCGCUACUACCGAUUGAAUGGUUUAGUGAGAUCUUCGGAUUGGCGCCACUGCGGCUCAGCAAUGGGCUCGGUGGAUGCCGAAAAGUUGAUCAAACUUGAUCAUUUAGAGGAAGUAAAAGUCGUAACA
rnacentral:rRNA from 1 species